CCCUAUUCUCAAUAUCAUAACCCCCAAUUCAAACCCUUUAAUUCCGGCCACAAUUUUCUCCAGGAUAGUGAUGCGGGCUGGUACAAAAUGGACGCCACCGGCCUGAGAAUCGCCGCCAUCUCUUCCCUUCACUGGUCCGGAUAAUAUCCUUGAUUAUGAUUUCCACCUCCAGGCUGCGGAUAAUUCUGCCUCUGACGAAAGUUUUGGGGAGAACCCUGACUCUAAAACCCACCUUGUCGAGGAUAAUUUUGGCUCAAAUUAGGGUUUUGGUUUUGUGGGUACCAAUUAUUUUGGUUGUUAUUAUUCCACUGGUUAACGUUACCACUUGCUGGUCGAGGAUGGGGAAAAUUAGGGGUCGGGUUAGGAACUCCAGGUGGAAAUCAUAAUCAGAUUUUUACCGUUAUAUGCUUGAGACAAGUAGAACUUCGUGGACUUGUGGAAAGUGCAAGGAAUCAGUAACUGUAGCUUUGAUUCAAUUGUACAGGCAAUCGAAGGUGAGUAGAAGCAGAUGGAAGAGAGCUCCCACGGUUAUAAGGAGCUUUCAAUUGUACAGUAGGAGAUAUGAAAAUGCUUAUAUGUAUUUUUAUCUUGAUCAAUGGAGUAGGGGUUGAAAAUGCGUAUAUGUAGUUGGUUGUUGUAAUUUGGUUCUUUGAACUUUGUAUUAUUGAAUGAAUGAAUCCUAUUAUAACUUGGUUUUUUUCCUUUUUGUGGCUGAGUUGAUGGUUAUUGUAACUUGAAAAUGCUUAUAUGUAUUUUUAUCUUGAUCAAUGGAGUAGGGGUUGAAAAUGCGUAUAUGUAGUUGGUUGUUGUAAUUUGGUUCUUUGAACUUUGUAUUAUUGAAUGAAUGAAUCCUAUUAUAACUUGGUUUGUUUCCUUUUUGUGGCUGAGUUGAUGGUUGUUGUAACUUGGUUCUUUGAACUUUGUAUUAUUGAAUGAAUGAAUCCUAUUAUAAUUUGGUUUGUUUCCUUUUUGUGGCUGAGUUGAUGGAUGGCAAUAUUUUGUGUAAAUUAGAAGUUAGUUCUAAGGCUAUUGAAAAUUGGGAUUGAUUGAGGUGCA
rnacentral:lncRNA from 1 species